rnacentral:rRNA from 1 species
GACGAACGCUGGCGGCGUGCUUAACACAUGCAAGUCGAACGGAAAGGCCUGCUUUCCCUUGUGGAUUGCGGGUACUCGAGUGGCGAACGGGUGAGUAACGCGUGAGUGAUCUGCCCCCAACUUGGGUAUAAGCCUGGGAAACUGGGUCUAAUUCCCGAUAGGACUGCAGGGUGGUGCCUGUGGUGGAAAACGAUUUUCUAGUGGUUGGGGAUGAGCUCGCGGCCUAUCAGCUUGUUGGUGGGGUAAUGGCCUACCAAGGCGGCGACGGGUAGCCGGCCUGAGAGGGUGGACGGCCACAUUGGGACUGAGAUACGGCCCAGACUCCUACGGGAGGCAGCAGUGGGGAAUAUUGCACAAUGGGAGGAAGCCUGAUGCAGCGACGCCGCGUGGGGGAUGACGGCCUUCGGGUUGUAAACUCCUUUCGACCGCGAGGAAGCCACCUGGUUGGAAGGGUGGUGACGGUAGUGGUAGAAGAAGCACCGGCUAACUACGUG